rnacentral:rRNA from 1 species
CGAACGGGUGAGUAACGCGUGAGGAACCUGCCUCAAAGAGGGGGACAACAGUUGGAAACGACUGCUAAUACCGCAUAAGCCCACGGGUCGGCAUCGACCUGAGGGAAAAGGAGCAAUCCGCUUUGAGAUGGCCUCACGUCCGAUUAGCUAGUUGGUGAGGUAAUGGCCCACCAAGGCGACGAUCGGUAGCCGGACUGAGAGGUUGAACGGCCACAUUGGGACUGAGACACGGCCCAG